GAUCGGAGCGGCGGCUAGACAUCAGUGAGGCGGGAAUGGGAGAUCGGAGCAGUUAGAAGUUGUUGGAAUGGGUUCUUUGGAAAGAAAUUAAGCUUAGAUAGAUAGCUUAAAGUUUCUUUCCUAUUCCACCCAUUCCUAUUAUUUCUAAUUUCUCCUCCCUUUCCCUUCCUUCACUCUACUUUUCCUUAAGUUUCAACUUCUUCAUAAUUUUCUCCAUCUUUUUUUGUUGAUCUUAAUCUUUGAAUAGUUAAAUUUCAGAUCUGAUACUGUUGAUGGGUGUUUUCGUUUUUGAGAAAACCAGAUCUGAGGUGUGAGCUUAUGCUGUGUAUGGUCUUCAGAUCUAUUUUGUUACGGCGAAAAUAAGAAGUUUUUUAUUCGUACUAAUAAAGAGUCACUUUCUAGCUUUUUGAUAUAAACCUAAAAUGGCUUCAAAAAUGGCCACUAGUUUUCAUGGAACCUAAUAGGGAUAGUGUAUUUUUUUUCUGAUUUGUUUUGAUGUGUUGUUUUAGGUAGGUGUAUGUGCGGUUGACUACUCGCUUUGAAGUAUUGGUGUAAAGUACUUUUACCUGAAUAUGGGUAGAUAUCCUCUCCAUAAAUCUUUAAGUCUUAGGUCUGUACUUUUUUAAUUGAUUAUAUUUUUAUUUUUAAAUUAAAUAAUAGAAUUAUUAUAUCGUAAACUUGUUAGGUUUUUGUUUUGUAAAAUAAUUGUUAUAUAAUAAAAAGUAAUUUAAAAUGAGAAUAUUAGAAGAUUUCUGUCAAUUUUGACUGUGUUUUAACAUAAAGAUAUUCCAGCGAGGAUAUGAAAAUUUUCAAUGUUAUAUUAUUUAUUUUUAGUUAGAUGAAUUGAUCAAAGACAUAAAAUUUAUAAAAUUAAAUAGGUAAUGUUCUUGCUUACAAUAAACUGUAACGCUGUAGUUUAUUAAAGAUUUUAGAGUGAAAAACCUUUGCAAAUGAAAAUAGACAAUUCAUGUCAAAUUGCAAAUCUAAAGAUUUAAAGAGAAUUAUAUAAUACUUACGUGUUAGGCAAAAACAAAUGAGUGAGGGAAUACAUUAUUUAAAGUUUGAAGUGUCAAUUAAGAGUACUAAUGAAAGACAAGUUCUGACACCUGUGUUACCAGGUGAAGGUGGAUUUGUAGUUUAGUCGGUAAUAUUUUUAAAAUUUUUUCCUUCAUCAAUAUUCAUGAGUUUGAGGUGUUGAAGAAGUUUAAGGUCAAUAUUUAACCUCUUUCUCCUCUUAAGAUUGUGGAAGUCAUUUGGAAGCCUUCCUUGUGGGAUGGGAUAAAAAUUAAUUGUGAUAAUGCUUUUCUAGGCAAUCUGGGUCACUCUGUUUGUGGAGGUAUUGCUAGAGACUAUGAUGGUAUGUUCCUUGGAGCCUUUGUUAGUUUUAUUGGUGAUUCUAACUUUCUCAUUGCCGAACUCACCGGUGCUAUGUUAGCUAUUGAGUUCAUCCAUGGGAGGGGUUGAAGCAAGAUUUGGCUUGAAACUGAUUCUUUAGUUGUGGUGCGUGCUUUUUCCCCUCCCUUCAUUAUGCCUUGGCAACUUCGUACAAGAUGGGUCAAUUGUGUGAAUGUUACAUAAAUCAUUUCUUUUGUGGCUUCUCAUAUUUUUCGAGAAGAAAAUAGUUUUGCAAAUUCUCUAGCUUUUAAGUUUAUUUUUCAUUGAGAGGGUUUUGGUUGAAGUCUCUAGGGUUUUGGUUGAAGUCUCUCCUCUUCUUUGUAACAGUUUCUUUUGAUGUGUUUCAAUCUUAUUAAAAGAAGAUUGUUGAAGGUCCCACAAUGUUAUAUAUUUUGUAUAACUAGCGGAAAACUCGUGCACUCGCACGGGUUCAGGUCUUCGAUGCACAUUGUUGUAAAAAAAAUGGUUGCUAUUAAAAAACAUUGAUUAUAAGACAAGAAAAUUAUUGAAAAAAAAUAGUUGUUUUAAUAGUUUUUAAUAGUUUUAAUAUUAGGUUUGUUAAAAAAAAUAUUACUAAAUAGUAUUAUUUUCACAUUAAAAAAAAACUGAGUGGUAAGUAUAGAAAGUUUUUAACGUUUUUAAAGUUAUUAAUUAAUUGAUUUAAUAUAAAUUGAAUUAAUAGACAGUAAUUAAUUAUGUGUUAUUGAUGAAAAUAUAAAAGUAUAUUGGGCAAGAAUAACGACAUUCUUACUUUGGUUAAAAAAUUUAGGGUUAAAUGGCUUUCACCUCCUGCAAUAGUAGCGAGAUUUGGUUUACCCCCUUUUAAAAAAAAAAUUGCAUUACCCCUGUAAUAUUUGGGCACCCCCCUAAACAUGUAAAAACCAGGGGGUAAAAUCAAAAAAAUAUAUUUUACAGGGGGUAAUUUUUCCUCUUAGGGGGCAAAAGACUUACAAUUUUAAUAUUAUAGGGGGAUAAUGCAAUUUUUUUUAAAGGGGGUAAACUGAAUCUCGCUACUAUUGCAGGGGAGUGAAAACCAUUUAACCCAAAAAUUUAUGUACAUAACGCCUAAUAAGUUUAUUGUAGUUUAAUAUGGGCAACGUUUAACAUUCAUAGGCUUUUACAAUUUGUAUAGUAAAUAGGGCCAAAAGUGAUUUAUUUUCUUGGGCCAUUAAAGUCAUAUAAGUUAAAAUCCUUGUCCAUAAAAAUGUUAUAAAGAGUUGAUAUUGUAGAAAGCAAAACGUCAUAUUUUGUCGAUCAAAACGCUAAACCUGUGUGUAUCCUCUUCUGGAAAAUGUUCGCCGAGUUUGCUGGUUUAAGUCGCAAGAGAUCCUCAAGUAGCAGCAAGGACUUUCGGACGAGGAUGAAUAGGAAGAACGAAGAUUUUUUCCCCAAUCUAUUGUGUCAAAGAAAGAGGUGGAAAAAGGCAAAGGUCCGUUAAGUGUCACAAACUACAAAUCGCGUUCUGGUGUUGUAGAAGGAAAAACGUUCCAAGGAGUGAAAAAUGCUGUUUGCAAUGAGAAAGGAUAUCAGAGAAGGUGUUAUAUUACCAUUUCAAGUGAUAGUAGCAGUUCUGAUGACGGAGAAGAGGAACCCAGUGAAUUUCAAUGGGAGAAGGAAAUAGAUUUUGGUUUCGUAUCAAGCAAGAAUGUCAUGCAUUUUCCCCGACAAGUUACUAAGGAAUGGUUGCGUAGGAACCAGAAAUCGAUAUCUCUAGUUAAUGGAGACAACCAGGAGACUUACAAUGCAGUUAUCCGUUGUUCCAAGAGAGACGGGAAGGUUGAAUGGAGGGAGAAAUAUAUGUGUAAGGGUUGGUACGAGUAUGCAAAGAAAAAGAGGAUCCGUAGAAGAGAUGUUCUUCGGUUUAGUAUUAAGCGCCCUGCUAAUAAAGUUGUUGUUACUUUGUUGAAAAGACCAAAUGCAUGGUGAACGACGGUUGACGGUGGCAGAAAGUGGUCUGUUGUUUCAAGAUUAUGUAAUAGCUAAGACUGAUAUUCACAGCAUAUUGUGUGUUAUUUUGUAGUUUAUAUAAUGACAUUUUGGGUGUAAGUGAAGUAACUUAGAUUAAUGGAAAGUUGUUUGUAUUUUAGAAAGAGCUGCAUUAUGUUAUCUCAGGUUGUUGGUAUUAUGAAACAAUUUUCUGUAUCAAAGUCUAUUAAGUUAUAUUAUAUAUAAGUUAUAUGAUAUUUACUUUUGCUUGGAAAAUAAUGUAGUUGUAUUCGCUGUAAUUCUUGAACACAUAUUUGAAACUUUCACGUGUAAAGUCUUUAAAAGAUGUGUCCAAGAAGAAUAUACUGUGAAGCCUCUUCAAAUAAUGGGAUAGUAUUUGGUGAAAGGAUCUUAAAAAAAAGUGGUA